rnacentral:rRNA from 1 species
AUUGAGCGCUGGCGGCAGGCUUAACACAUGCAAGUCGAGCGGGGUGAUGGUGCUUGCACUAUCACUUAGCGGCGGACGGGUGAGUAAUGCUUAGGAAUCUGCCUAUUAGUGGGGGACAACAUCUCGAAAGGGAUGCUAAUACCGCAUACGUCCUACGGGAGAAAGUAGGGGAUCACUUGUGACCUUGCGCUAAUAGAUGAGCCUAAGUCGGAUUAGCUAGUUGGUGGGGUAAAGGCCUACCAAGGCGACGAUCUGUAGCGGGUCUGAGAGGAGGAUCCGCCACACUGGGACUGAGACACGGCCCAGACUCCUACGGGAGGCAGCAGUGGGGAAUACUUGACAAUGGGGGGAACCCUUAUCCAGCCAUGCCGCGUGUGUGAAGAAGGCCUUAUGGUUGUAAAGCACUUUAAGCGAGGAGGAGGCUCUUUUGGUUAAUACCCAAGAUGAGUGGACGUUACUCGCAGAAUAAGCACCGGCUAACUCUGUGCCAGCAGCCGCGGUAA